rnacentral:lncRNA from 1 species
GGGAGGCGCUGAGAUUCCGGGCCCGGCGGCCGCGGGGAGCGGGUGUCCGUGAGGAGCCGGGCAGCCGGCCUCCUCUCUUUGCCUUUUGGGGGUUCUUUUUGUAAUAGCAGCAGGUGCAACUUUUUGUAUUUUAAAAAUAGUGAUUUUUAUUUUCGUGUGGACUAGAAAAGCGAGCCGGCUUGGAGGGAGUCCGCCCGGGGAUCCGAGCGCGCAUUCAUCAGUGUCGAGAGAAAAAAAGCUACAUAAAUAUAUAUUAUGUGGAUAAAUCUA